AUAAAUACUAAAUGUUAACUAUAUAACUUUGAUAACUGAUUAGGAAAAUAUAAGGCAACAUACUUAAAAAUAAAACGGAAACUUAAUUUCGAACCAUAGGUGGCGCAAUGGGGAAUUGUGAUUCGAAAGAGAUUAUAUCCAAAUCUGUGAACCUGUUUUCAAUGACUUCUUUCGCCUGAAACCACAGAUCAUAUGAAAUUUUCCAGUCGGCUUUUUAUCACCAGCAAAAAAAAUUUUGAACGAGGUUAUUCCAUUAAAGAACUGUAUAUCGUCUAUAUCUUUUACGAUAGUUCCUCCUGCACCUACAUCUUAAUAUCUAAGUGCAAGUAUUCGAUAUUCAUAUGUUUAUCAUUAGAAAUGUUCGUAGAGAAAACAUAAUAUUGAAUAGCACUUAGACAAUAAGUUAAAUUUUCACGAACCGAGAAAAUCGCAUGAUCAAGUGUUAUAAAAUGGGCUAAAACGGGCCUUUCCUUAGGCUUCGAUAUGAAAAAUUGAGAAAAAAGUGUGAGGAAUAUGCAAUUUUACAAUCGCCAAAUUUGCCUAAUUUGAUGCUCCUAGUAACUGAUUAGUAAACAUCAUGAUUUUCAUUCCAUUUAUUUACAAAUAAAUUUUAAAAUAAGGACAAGGGACAGGCGAGUUAGUGCAUGCUACAUUAAAUUAAUAGAAGUUUUAUACUUACCAUAAAUAAUGCACUAAACAGUUCUGAUUUGAGAAAUAAUCAAUUAGAAACGUUUUCAAUAACUUUUAAUCACACUUAUUUCAAUUAUGUCAACACAAUUAUCCUAUGUACAAUCAGAAAUAAAUGAAUAUAUUAAAAUAAAA